rnacentral:lncRNA from 1 species
AUUUAUAUAUGUACUAGCUGACCCGGCGAACUUCGCAACGCCUAACAGUCAAUGAAUGUCGUGUUACUUUUUAGCUGAACUAAUUUAGGCUUUGAUGAACGUAAAACAAUGAUACAAAAUAAUAUGUUUAUAUAGAUAGAAACAAAAACGUACCAACUUGAUAGCGCGUGAUUUCAUCGUUGGUAUUGGAUGUUUGGAUACCAAAAACCGCCAUGUCGCUCCCUUUCGUGACAUAUUUGCAAAUGUAUUUAAUUGACUUCACCGAAUUGCAAUCACUUGGCAUGCGCCUAAAGCCUAAAUGCAUGAUGUUCAUUAAGCAUUUGCUGUAGAUCUUGGAGAAUUGCUCUCUUCGUAGCUGUGUUAAUCCCUUGACGCCUGUCAAGUUGUUCUUUCAUAUUGAAGAAGAUGCUGUGCAUCUUCUAUAGGUUGCAAUGAUCCAAUGCGAUGGUAAUAGGAUUUUCAUUCAAGCACUUUGUGAUAAACGACAUUCAUUGUUUUUUGGUCAGGCGCAAGAACAAAUAAAGCGGAUGGUUUGCCGACACGUGAGCAUGCCACGUACAAUUGACCAUGAGAAAAACAUUCAUUUUCUAGAUUGAGGCCACAAAUAGUCAAGGAUUAGCCCUGUGAUUUGUUGAUCGUCAUGGCGAAGGCAAGACGAAUCGGGAAUCGUUUAAACUCAAAGGGCAUAUCCGUUGGGAUCAUCGGAAUCCUUGGAAUAAGAACUUCCUCAGCUUUAAAUUUUCCUUUAAGUAUCGACGCUUGAAUCACAUUGCUCAUCAGUUUUCUUAUCGCCAAACGCGUUCCAUUGCACAGUUUUGGUUGGUUUAAAUUUCUAAGCAUGAUGACUACCGAGCCAACUUUAAGUUUUAAAUUGUGCGGUGGUAAACUAGGCACAUCCAAGGAGUUUAAAAAUUCAGUUGGAUAGUUAGUGGCUUCUUCU